rnacentral:rRNA from 1 species
CGACGAAGGACGUUACUAACGACGAUAUGCUUUGGGGAGCUGUAAGUAAGCUUUGAUCCAGAGAUUUCCUAAUGGGGAAACCCAGCACGAGUUAUGUCGUGUUAUCGAUAUGUGAAUACAUAGCAUAUCUGAAGGCAGACGCGGAGAACUGAAACAUCUUAGUACCCGCAGGAAGAGAAAGAAAAAUCGAUUCCCUGAGUAGCGGCGAGCGAAACGGGAAGAGCCCAAACCAACGAGCUUGCUUGUUGGGGUUGUAGGACACUCUAUACGGAGUUACAAAAGAACAGACUAGACGAAUCAUCUGGAAAGAUGAAUCAAAGAAGGUAAUAAUCCUGUAGUCGAAAGUUUGUUCACUCUUGAGUGGAUCCUGAGUACGACGGAACACGAGAAAUUCCGUCGGAAUCUGGGAGGACCAUCUCCCAAGGCUAAAUACUCUCUAGUGACCGAUAGUGAACCAGUACCGUGAGGGAAAGGUGAAAAGUACCCCGGAAGGGGAGUGAAAUAGAACUUGAAACCGUGUGCUUACAAGUAGUCAGAGCCCGUUAAUGGGUGAUGGCGUGCCUUUUGUAGAAUGAACCGGCGAGUUACGAUUUGAUGCAAGGUUAAGCAGUGAAUGUGGAGCCGUAGCGAAAGCGAGUCUGAAUAGGGCGUUGAGUAUUUGGUCGUAGACCCGAAACCAGGUGAUCUACCCAUGACCAGGUUGAAGUUCAGGUAACACUGAAUGGAGGACCGAACCGACUUACGUUGAAAAGUGAGCGGAUGAGUUGUGGGUAGCGGAGAAAUUCCAAUCGAACCUGGAGAUAGCUGGUUCUCUCCGAAAUAGCUUUAGGGCUAGCCUCAAGUGAUGAUUAUUGGAGGUAGAGCACUGUUUGGACGAGGGGCCCUUAUCGGGUUACCGAAUUCAGACAAACUCCGAAUGCCAAUCAAUUUAACUUGGGAGUCAGAACGCGGGUGAUAAGGUCCGUGUUCGAAAGGGAAACAGCCCAGACCACCAGCUAAGGUCCCAAAAUAUAUGUUAAGUGGAAAAGGAUGUGGCGUUGCCCAGACAACUAGGAUGUUGGCUUAGAAGCAGCCAUCAUUUAAAGAGUGCGUAAUAGCUCACUAGUCGAGUGACACUGCGCCGAAAAUGUACCGGGGCUAAACAUAUUACCGAAGCUGUGGAUUGUCCGUAAGGACAAUGGUAGGAGAGCGUUCUAAGGGCGUUGAAGCAUGAUCGCAAGGACAUGUGGAGCGCUUAGAAGUGAGAAUGCCGGUGUGAGUAGCGAAAGACGGGUGAGAAUCCCGUCCACCGAUUGACUAAGGUUUCCAGAGGAAGGCUCGUCCGCUCUGGGUUAGUCGGGUCCUAAGCUGAGGCCGAUAGGCGUAGGCGAUGGAUAACAGGUUGAUAUUCCUGUACCACCAUUAUUCGUUUUAAGCGAUGGGGGGACGCAGUAGGAUAGGCGAAGCGUACGAUUGGAUUGUACGUCCAAGCAGUGAGAUUGAGUGUUAGGCAAAUCCGGCA